rnacentral:tRNA from 1 species
GAGAAACCCUGGAAUUAAAAAAGGGCAAUCCUGAGAAAAUCCGUCGACUUUAUAAGUUGUGAGGGUU